rnacentral:rRNA from 1 species
CGAAAGCCUGACGGAGCAACGCCGCGUGAGGGAUGAAGGCCUUUGGGCUGUAAACCUCUUUUCUCAAGGAAGAAGAUCUGACGGUACUUGAGGAAUAAGCCACGGCUAAUUCCGUGCCAGCAGCCGCGGUAAUACGGGAGUGGCAAGCGUUAUCCGGAAUUAUUGGGCGUAAAGCGUCCGCAGGCGGCCGUUUAAGUCUGUUGUUAAAUCGUGGAGCUCAACUCCAUCACGGCAAUGGAAACUGUUCGGCUUGAGUAUGGUAGGGGCAGAGGGAAUUUCCGGUGUAGCGGUGAAAUGCGUAGAUAUCGGGAAGAACACCAGUGGCGAAAGCGCUCUGCUGGACCAUUACUGACGCUCAUGGACGAAAGCCAGGGGAGCGAAAGGAUUAGAUACCCCUGUAGUCCUGGCCGUAAACGAUGAACACUAGAUGUUGGGGGAAUCGACCCCCUCGGUGACGUAGCUAACGCGUUAAGUGUUCCGCCUGGGGAGUACGCACGCAAGUGUGAAACUCAAAGGAAUUGACGGGGGCCCGCACAAGCGGUGGAGUAUGUGGUUUAAUUCGAUGCAACGCGAAGAACCUUACCAAGGCUUGACAUCCUGCGAAUCUCCGAGAAAUUGGAGAGUGCCUUCGGGAACGCAGUGACAGGUGGUGCAUGGCUGUCGUCAGCUCGUGUCGUGAGAUGUUGGGUUAAGUCCCGCAACGAGCGCAACCCACGUUUUUAGUUGCCAGCAUUCAGUUGGGCACUCUAGAAAGACUGCCGGUGACAACCGGAGGAAGGUGUGGACGACGUCAAGUCAUCAUGCCCCUUACGCCUUGGGCUACACACGUACUACAAUGCUGCGGACAAAGAGUAGCGAUCUUGCGAAAGUUAGCUAAUCUCGUAAACCGUGGCUCAGUUCAGAUCGUAGGCUGCAACUCGCCUACGUGAAGGAGGAAUCGCUAGUAAUCGCAGGUCAGCAUACUGCGGUGAAUACGUUCCCGGGCCUUGUACACACCGCCCGUCACACCAUGGAAGUUGGCCAUGCCCGAAGUCGUUACUCUAACCUUUUGGAAGAGGGCGCCGAAGGCAGGGCUGAUGACUGGGGUGAAGUCGUAACAAGGUAGCCGUAGCGGAAGCUGCGGCUGGAUCACCUCCUAA